GACGAACGCUGGCGGCGUGCUUAACACAUGCAAGUCGAACGGAAAGGCCCUGCUUUUGUGGGGUGCUCGAGUGGCGAACGGGUGAGUAACACGUGAGUAACCUGCCCUUGACUUUGGGAUAACUUCAGGAAACUGGGGCUAAUACCGGAUAGGAGCUCCUGCUGCAUGGUGGGGGUUGGAAAGUUUCGGCGGUUGGGGAUGGACUCGCGGCUUAUCAGCUUGCUGGUGGGGUAGUGGCUUACCAAGGCUUUGACGGGUAGCCGGCCUGAGAGGGUGACCGGCCACAUUGGGACUGAGAUACGGCCCAGACUCCUACGGGAGGCAGCAGUGGGGAAUAUUGCACAAUGGGCGGAAGCCUGAUGCAGCAACGCCGCGUGCGGGAUGACGGCCUUCGGGUUGUAAACCGCUUUCGCCUGUGACGAAGCGUGAGUGACGGUAAUGGGUAAAGAAGCACCGGCUAACUACGU
rnacentral:rRNA from 1 species